CGGACGGGUGAGUAACACGUGGAUAACCUACCUAUAAGACUGGGAUAACUUCGGGAAACCGGAGCUAAUACCGGAUAAUAUAUUGAACCGCAUGGUUCAAUAGUGAAAGACGGUUUUGCUGUCACUUAUAGAUGGAUCCGCGCCGCAUUAGCUAGUUGGUAAGGUAACGGCUUACCAAGGCAACGAUGCGUAGCAGACCUGAGAGGGUGAUCGGCCACACUGGAACUGAGACACGGUCCAG
rnacentral:rRNA from 1 species